AGUGCUUGCUCUUAGGGCUAUUAAAAAUGAUGCAGAAUUUUAACCAUCUGCUGCACCAGGUACACCACACUGGUGCUACAGAUCUGUGUUUUUGCAGAGGGAAGACCUGCAGAGCUUUCAAAUUGCAAAAAUGCAUUUAAGCAUUUAAAUAUUCCAUGAAAUAACACCCUUAAAGCCAGAUUCCUUUUAAUUGUAAAUUGAGAAAUAGGUUUUAGCUAAAUCGAAGCAUUUUCCAUCCUAAAUGUGCUACCAGAGAGGGGGAUUUUCUAAAGGAGGCACAGGUGUACUGCUGAGCACAGGAUGCUGGCACUGCAGAAAUGCUAUCUCUGCAAGCAGUGUAAAGCUCCAGAAACGGCCAGAGAUAGUAACUGAGCAUUUUGUAGCCUUACAUUUUCUCCUAAAGGCUUUUGGCUGAAGUGUGCGAGACGUAACUGCAUGUGGAAGGUCAUCUCUUGCACUUGACCGGCUGCUUGUGUACGUACAGGAGUGAAAUUAUCUAAUGAAUAACAUGAAGACUGGAGAAGAAACUGGGCUGCCAACAUGGCCUCAUGAACUAUAUUAGUAUGUCCAGCUCACACAGGAAGACCGCUUCUAAGUAAUAAUGGAUGGAAAAAAUGUUUUUGAAGUGGUGAAGCUCAAAGAAGAAAAUAGCAGGAAUCUUUAAUGGCCUGGCUUAAAAUGCAUUUCAUGGUCAGUGGAAAAAAAUGAGGAAGAGGAGGGUGUGGCUGCUGCUUAGAGAAUCUGGCUGUGCAGGCAGGGACUGUCUUUGGGGUUGUGAUCCUUCAACCUCACAGAAGGAAGACUUCUCUUAGUGUCUCAGCCUGGAUGUAGUCUGGAUGCGUGAAAUACACAGCAGCAGAACUUGAGUUUUCAAGUGAAAUAGCUCUUCCUUGUCUGAAAAAUUCUUUAAAAUGCAGGAUUAGAUGUUUCCUACCACAUCAUCUGCAGGACUCCCAGAAAAUUCUUCUGCAAUUUGUGGCUGCCUGGAAAAAGAUGUAGUAGUAGUCUGGCAAAAUGAACUCAAGAUGCACAAGGAGAAGACACUAGAGACUGAUGUGCAAGGUGUUCAGGUAUUUAUGAUUUCAUUAUGUAUACCAGUAAUUGUUGUAUGAUGUAAGGUACUCUGUAGUUUAUGCAUUUACAGGCCUGAGGGCAAAUAUUUGUGUUAACUCACAAAAGGCGAUGAUAAAACAAUAUAAAAUAAAUGGAAAAGUCAUAAGAAGCA
rnacentral:lncRNA from 1 species